GCGAUCAUAAUAGCCCUUGUGCACCGGAUCCCAUCAGAACUCCGAUGUUAAGCGUUCUUAGGCGAGAGCAGUACUAGGAUGGGUGACCCCCUGGGAAGUCCUCGUGUUGCACCU
rnacentral:rRNA from 1 species